UACGAAGGGGGCUAGCGUUGCUCGGAAUCACUGGGCGUAAAGGGUGCGUAGGCGGGUCUUUAAGUCAGGGGUGAAAUCCUGGAGCUCAACUCCAGAACUGCCUUGAUACUGAGGAUCUUGAGUUCGGGAGAGGUGAGUGGAACUGCGAGUGUAGAGGUGAAAUUCGUAGAUAUUCGCAAGAACACCAGUGGCGAAGGCGGCUCACUGGCCCGGUACUGACGCUGAGGUGCGAAAGCGUGGGGAGCAACAGG
rnacentral:rRNA from 1 species